AAUGAAAACGCUUCAGUUCAGUACGUGCUCUCUUGACGUCCAAACGUGUGAGUGUGUGUCCGGUUGUGGAUCGAUCGAUUGGUUGUAUUCAACUUCUGAAGUUCUGAGUAUUUCAAUGGGGUGACUUGUGAAAUUUAGUUUUACUCCUGAACCCGGGACAAAAAAGGGAAUACAAUUCAAUACAAUAAAUUCCGUUCCUUUUUUUUAUCAAAAAGACAAUAACAGAUAAUCAACUUUUUCGGCCUCAACAAUAAUUUGCAACAAACUACAGGAAUUUUCCCACAAACUAAUCUCCAGAAUUUCCGAUCCAUCCAAAAUACAUCCAUAGUCGUCCAUAAAGUACUUAAUUUUAUCUAAUUAAAAGCAACGCACACACACACACAAAUAAUUUAUUCAACACCCCAUCAUCACCAACCAGCAUCAUCAUCCUGAUCUAUUGUAACAAGUCCACCAAAGAUAAUACUUUCUCCGAUGACCAAAACGGUCGUUAACAAAGAGAAAGUGGACACCACCUGCUACUGCUGCUGCUGCUACGGUACGGGCCAAGAAAUUAGUGCAGUCAACAACAACAUUAACAUCGUUCACAGCAUUCUGCUGAACACAGGACAUUCGUACGCUGCCCGAGCAGAUCUCAAUUAUCGUGUUUAAAUCGAACGUUAAGUGAAGGGGAAUCACCCGAUCCGCCCGAUUUGUGGUCAAACAAA
rnacentral:sRNA from 1 species